GAUAUAUGGAGCUUGCUUUAUAUAACUUAGCAGCGAACGGGUGAGUAACACGUAGAUAAUCUAUCCUAUACUGGGGGAUAGCCCGAUGAAAGUUGGAUUAAUACCGCAUAUAGCUAUAUAGUUGCAUGGUUAUGUAGUGAAAGAUUUAUUGGUAUAGGAGGAGUCUGCGGCACAUUAGCUAGUAGGUGAGGUAAAGGCUUACCUAGGCGACGAUGUGUAGCCGGUCUGAGAGGAUGAACGGCCACAAUGGAACUGAGACACGGUCCAUACUCCUACGGGAGGCAGCAGUGGGGAAUAUUGCACAAUGGGGGAAACCCUGAUGCAGCAACGCCGCGUGAGUGAAGAAGGUUUUCGGAUUGUAAAGCUCUAUUAGCAGGGAAGAGGAAGGACGGUACCUGCAGAGGAAGCCACGGCUAACUACGUGCCAGCAGCCGCGGUAAUACGUAGGUGGCAAGCGUUGUUCGGAAUAACUGGGCGUAAAGGAUGCGUAGGCGGUUAAACAAGUUAUAUGUUAAAUAUAUAGGCUUAACCCGUAGAAAGCAUAUAAAACUGUUUAACUAGAGUGCAGGAGAGGUAAGUGGAAUUCCUAGUGUAGCGGUGAAAUGCGUAGAGAUUAGGAAGAACACCAGUGGCGAAGGCGACUUACUGGACUGUAACUGACGCUGAGGCAUGAGAGCAUGGGGAGCAAACAGGAUUAGAUACCCUGGUAGUCCAUGCUGUAAACGAUGGGUACUAGGUGUGGGUUGUGAAUAACAAUUCGUGCCGUCGCAAACGCAAUAAGU
rnacentral:rRNA from 1 species